GAAGAUGUAACGGGGCUAAACCAUGCACCGAAGCUGCGGCAGCGACACUGUGUGUUGUUGGGUAGGGGAGCGUUCUGUAAGCCUGUGAAGGUGGCCUGUGAGGGUUGCUGGAGGUAUCAGAAGUGCGAAUGCUGACAUAAGUAACGAUAAAGCGGGUGAAAAGCCCGCUCGCCGGAAGACCAAGGGUUCCUGUCCAACGUUAAUCGGGGCAGGGUGAGUCGACCCCUAAGGCGAGGCCGAAAGGCGUAGUCGAUGGGAAACGGGUUAAUAUUCCCGUACUUGGUGUUACUGCGAAGGGGGGACGGAGAAGGCUAUGUUGGCCGGGCGACGGUUGUCCCGGUUUAAGCGUGUAGGUGUGUGUUCCAGGUAAAUCCGGUUCACUUUAACACUGAGGCGUGACGACGAGGCACUACGGUGCUGAAGCAACAAAUGCCCUGCUUCCAGGAAAAGCCUCUAAGCAUCAGGUAACAUCAAAUCGUACCCCAAACCGACACAGGUGGUCAGGUAGAGAAUACCAAGGCGCUUGAGAGAACUCGGGUGAAGGAACUAGGCAAAAUGGUGCCGUAACUUCGGGAGAAGGCACGCUGACACGUAGGUGAAGUGAUUUACUCAUGGAGCUGAAGUCAGUCGAAGAUACCAGCUGGCUGCAACUGUUUAUUAAAAACACAGCACUGUGCAAACACGAAAGUGGACGUAUACGGUGUGACGCCUGCCCGGUGCCGGAAGGUUAAUUGAUGGGGUCAGCGCAAGCGAAGCUCCUGAUCGAAGCCCCGGUAAACGGCGGCCGUAACUAUAACGGUCCUAAGGUAGCGAAAUUCCUUGUCGGGUAAGUUCCGACCUGCACGAAUGGCGUAAUGAUGGCCAGGCUGUCUCCACCCGAGACUCAGUGAAAUUGAACUCGCUGUGAAGAUGCAGUGUACCCGCGGCAAGACGGAAAGACCCCGUGAACCUUUACUAUAGCUUGACACUGAACAUUGAGCCUUGAUGUGUAGGAUAGGUGGGAGGCUUUGAAGCGUGGACGCCAGUCUGCGUGGAGCCGACCUUGAAAUACCACCCUUUAAUGUUUGAUGUUCUAACGUGGACCCGUGAUCCGGGUUGCGGACAGUGUCUGGUGGGUAGUUUGACUGGGGCGGUCUCCUCCUAAAGAGUAACGGAGGAGCACGAAGGUUGGCUAAUCCUGGUCGGACAUCAGGAGGUUAGUGCAAUGGCAUAAGCCAGCUUGACUGCGAGCGUGACGGCGCGAGCAGGUGCGAAAGCAGGUCAUAGUGAUCCGGUGGUUCUGAAUGGAAGGGCCAUCGCUCAACGGAUAAAAGGUACUCCGGGGAUAACAGGCUGAUACCGCCCAAGAGUUCAUAUCGACGGCGGUGUUUGGCACCUCGAUGUCGGCUCAUCACAUCCUGGGGCUGAAGUAGGUCCCAAGGGUAUGGCUGUUCGCCAUUUAAAGUGGUACGCGAGCUGGGUUUAGAACGUCGUGAGACAGUUCGGUCCCUAUCUGCCGUGGGCGCUGGAGAACUGAGGGGGGCUGCUCCUAGUACGAGAGGACCGGAGUGGACGCAUCACUGGUGUUCGGGUUGUCAUGCCAAUGGCACUGCCCGGUAGCUAAAUGCGGAAGAGAUAAGUGCUGAAAGCAUCUAAGCACGAAACUUGCCCCGAG
rnacentral:rRNA from 1 species